UCGCCUGGAUCGCAGCGCCAUCUCGUGGCUGCUGGCAGGUCUGCCUUGGGCCCUCUUGGCACAAGGCAAGGAAACAGGAGCUCUUCCCAUCAGUGACAGCCCAGGAGAAUGCUCCAGUGUCACCAGUGACUCCUGCUCCCACAUCUGCCUACAGGAAGCCCUCUUGGAACAAAAGCAUCUCACUUCUGGGAGGCAUCAAGUAUGUGCAUCACCAGCAGGACAGACUUGCAGCGCCUAUUCUGAGUGAAAAAGAGAAUCUUUUGGUGCUACCCUCAACCAACCUCAUCCUUUCUCCACUUGGAUUCUUCUCAACAUUGACCCUCUUGAAAAGAUCAUAAAAACUCACUUUAAGGUGUAUAUGAGGAGUUUUGUCUCCCAGGAAGGUUUGCAUUGUAUCUGUAAUGGUGGAGUCUCAGGCAUUGACUUCCCAGGUGAAGGAAGGGUGAUUUUGGGAUGGGGGGGCCUUCCUGAAA
ensembl:lncRNA LINC02773 long intergenic non-protein coding RNA 2773